rnacentral:rRNA from 1 species
GACAGAGGGUGCAAACGUUGUUCGGAAUUACUGGGCGUAAAGCGCGUGUAGGCGGCAGGGCAUGUCGGAUGUGAAAUCCCCGUGGCUCAACCACGGAAGUGCACCCGAAACUGCCCAGCUCGAGUCUCGGAGAGGAAGGCGGAAUGCUUGGUGUAGAGGUGAAAUUCGUAGAUAUCAAGCGGAACACCGGUGGCGAAGGCGGCCUUCUGGACGAUGACUGACGCUGAGACGCGAAAGCGUGGGGAGCAAACAGG